UGCGUAGGCGGUUUAUUAAGUCAGAUGUGGAAGCCCCGGGCUUAACCUGGGAACUGCAUUUGAUACUGGUAGACUAGAGUAUGGUAGAGGGGGGUAGAAUUCCUAGUGUAGCGGUGAAAUGCGUAGAUAUUAGGAGGAAUACCAGUGGCGAAGGCGGCCCCCUGGACCAAUACUGACGCUGAGGUACGAAAGCGUGGGUAGCGAACA
rnacentral:rRNA from 1 species